rnacentral:misc_RNA from 1 species
UUUAUUCAUUAUCAUUAUAAAUUCAAGAUAGCCGCCGCUACAAAAUGGCGGAUAAUUUAUGUUUUAUUAAUCCCAUCAAUAUGGGUAUCAAAUGAAAGGGCUCAACAAGCAGAAUACAAUAUACUAUACAAAAUUGAAAUCCAAGAUGGCGGCCGCUACAAAAUGGCGGAUAACGUAGGUUUUAUCGAUCCCAUCAAUAUGGGUAUCAAAUGAAAGUGCUCAACCAGUAUAAUCAAUGUACUAUAUAAAAUUAAAAUCCAAGAUGGCAGCCUCUACAAAAUGGCGGAUAACUUAGGUUUUAUCAAUCCCAUCAACAUGGGUAUCAAAUGAAAGGUCUCAACAAGUAGAAUACAAUUUACUAUGCAAAAUUGAAAUCUAAGCUGGCCGCCGCUACCAAAUGUCUGAUAACAA